AAGUAAGGUAAGAAUAUGGAUACCUUGUUGCUGAAAAACACGCGAUCAUAGUUGUAGCGAUGUGCGGGAUACACCCAAGAAUUGCAGACAAAAUGAACUUCACCAUGUCCAGGAACAUCUUGUAAAGUGAGUGUCUUCAGCUUCUUCCACUGAUAUCCAAGUCUUGGAGGAUGUCCAUUCCAAAAUUGCUGGUUUUCCCAACUUCCCUUUUGAUCCAUUUCCUAAGAAGAGAGACACAAAAUUUAUGCUUCAAGGUUGUUGUGCAGAAUAGUAUACAUUGUGCAGGACUGCAGGUAAUUCAUCGAGGCGUACGAGUUAGUAAUUGAGUUAAUCAAUGAUUCUUUCAAAUAUAUGAAGGUGUCUACCCAAGGAUGUGUCUUAGUGGUCAAUGAAGUGCGUUGACAACAAUGAAGUCUCAAGUUCAAAUCCCAGUGGAGGCAAAAAUACUAGAUGGUUUUCUUCCUUUCUGUCCAAGCCUUAGUGCACAGUAUUACUUAGUACCUGAAUUAGUGACUGGUCGAAUUCAUCUCCUAGAAUUAGUCGAGGUGCGUAAAAAAGCAAUAUAUUUAUUUGAUUGGAUGAAAAACUAUAAAGCUCAUCUUAUAUAGCUUCUUUGCUUCAAAAUGGGAAGAAAAUCAUGGAAAUAAAAACUUUAGCUCUAUCCUGCCUCAUGCUUUGAUUGAUGUAUUGGCUAUAAAGGACUAACCAGGCAUACAGAACUCAGGAUUUACACAAGUUUUCUUACUCUGCAU